rnacentral:rRNA from 1 species
CAGUCGCAGCGGGAAAACGAAGGGUGCAAGCGUUACUCGGAAUUACUGGGCGUAAAGCGUGCGUAGGUGGUGGUUUAAGUCCGUUGUGAAAGCCCUGGGCUCAACCUGGGAAUUGCAGUGGAUACUGGGUCACUAGAGUGUGGUAGAGGAUAGUGGAAUUUCCGGUGUAGCAGUGAAAUGCGUAGAGAUCGGAAGGAACAUCUGUGGCGAAGGCGACUAUCUGGGCCAACACUGACACUGAGGCACGAAAGCGUGGGGAGCAAACAGGAUUAGAUACCCCGGUAGUCCCUGUCUCUUAUAC